GCUUGUCUCAAAGAUUAAGCCAUGCAUGUCUUAGUGUAAAUAACUCUUAUGAAACUGCGAAUGGCUCAUUAAAUCAGUUAUCGUUUAUUUGAUGGUCCCUUACUACAUGGAUAACCGUAGUAAUUCUAGAGCUAAUACAUGCGAAAAGACCCGACUUCUCGGAAGGGUUGCAUUUAUUAGAUACAAAACCAAUGCGGGGGCAACUCCGGUGUCUUGGUGAUUCAUAAUAACUUUUGCGGAUCGCAUGGCCUUGAGCCGGCGACGAAUCAUUCAAAUUUCUGCCCUAUCAACUUUCGAUGGUACGGUAUUGGCCUACCAUGGUUACCACGGGUAACGGGGAAUUAGGGUUCGGUUCCGGAGAGGGGGCCUGAGAAAUGGCCACCACAUCCAAGGAAGGCAGCAGG
rnacentral:rRNA from 1 species